UUGAACGCUGGCGGUAUGCUUAACACAUGCAAGUCGAACGGCAGCAUGGUCUAGCUUGCUAGACUGAUGGCGAGUGGCGGACGGGUGAGUAACGCGUAGGAAUAUGCCUUGAAGAGUGGGACAACUUGGGGAAACUCAAGCUAAUACCGCAUGUACUCGAGAGAGUAAAGCUGGGGACCUUUAGGCCUGGCGCUUUAAGAUUAGCCUGCGUCCGAUUAGCUAGUUGGUAGGGUAAGGGCCUACCAAGGCGACGAUCGGUAGCUGGUCUGAGAGGAUGAUCAGCCACACUGGAACUGAGAGACGGACCAGACUCCUACGGGAGGCAGCAGUGGGGAAUAUUGGACAAUGGGGGGAACCCUGAUUCAGCAAUGCCGCGUGUGUGAAGAAGGCCUGAGGGUUGUAAAGCACUUUCAGUGGGGAGGAGGUUUGGAAGGUUAAGAGCUAUUCAAAUGGACGUUACCCACAGAAGAAGCACCGGCUAACUCCGUGCCAGCAGCCGCGGUAA
rnacentral:rRNA from 1 species